UACAGAGGGUGCGAGCGUUGUUCGGAAUUAUUGGGCGUAAAGCGCGUGUAGGCGGUGAUGCAUGUCGGGUGUGAAAGCCCUCAGCUCAACUUAGGAAGUGCGCCCGAAACUGCAUCGCUGGAGUGCCGGAGAGGAAGGCGGAAUUCCCGGUGUAGAGGUGAAAUUCGUAGAUAUCGGGAGGAACACCAGUGGCGAAGGCGGCAUUCUGGACGGACACUGACGCUGAGACGCGAAAGCGUGGGUAGCAAACAGG
rnacentral:rRNA from 1 species